GCCCCCUUCAGGGCCAGAGGGGUCUCCAGCUGCACCACAGGCUCCCUAUCCUCACUGCAGCUCAAGGCAGGGUGGACACUGGCCCCACAGGCCAGAGCAGAGUGGAUGCUGCCUCCAGUGUAGGCUCAGAGCAGGGUGGACGCUGCCUCCAGAGAGGCUCAGAGCACGGUGGACGCUGCCUCCAGUGUGUCUCAGAGCAGUGCACACCUGCUCCAGGAGAGGCUCAGAGCAGAGUGGAUGUUGG